GACAGUAGAAGGUGGAGAUGUCGUUCAGAUUACAGUUGGGUGAAGUUUCGGUCGCAGCGGGGGAGACGACGAAUAGGGAGCCGUUUUUGUGCCGGGUGGCGGCUGCGCCUGACCCGGCCUACAUGCGGGAUGGGACUGCGGGCCCCGGUAAGCGCAGCGCCACCGGGGAGGGGCGGGUUUAACGGAGGAUCUUUUUCUCGGCCAGAUCGAGGGCGAAAUAGCUGAAGAUCAGGUCGGCGCCUGCGCGUUUGAUAGCGCCGAGGCUUUCCAGAACCACUUUCUCUUCAUCGAUAGCGCCCGCCUGGGCAGCGAAUUUGAUCAUCGCGUACUCCCCGCUGACCUGAUAGGCGCCGAGCGGCAGAUCGCUGCGUUCGCGGAUAUCGCGCAGAAUAUCCAGGUAGGCGCCAGCCGGUUUCACCAUCAGGCAGUCGGCGCCCUGGGCUUCAUCGAGCAGCGACUCGCGAAUGGCCUCCCGGCGAUUCAUCGGGCUCA
rnacentral:misc_RNA from 1 species